rnacentral:tRNA from 1 species
GUGUUGUAGCACAGUGGUAGUGGUGUUGUGUGUGGUGCAGCAGGUCAUUGGUUCGAAACCCCUCUGACCCC